rnacentral:rRNA from 1 species
GUCCGCCUCGGCCAGAGGCCCCCAAACUCUUGAAUUAUGAUGUCUGAGUACUAAGUUAAAUAUUUUAAAACUUUCAACAACGGAUCUCUUGGUUAGACCAUCGAUGAAGAACGCAGCGAAAUGCGAUAAGUAAUGUGAAUUGCAGAAUUCAGUGAAUCAUCGAAUCUUUGAACGCACAUUGCGCUCCCUGGCAUUCCGGGGAGCAUGCCUGUUCGAGCGUCAUUACAACCCUCACGCUCCGCGUGGUGUUGGGCUGGCCCAGCAGGGCCGGCCUCAAAAUCAGUGGCGGCUCCGUGCGACCCCUAAGCGUAGUAAAACUUCACAUCGCUUCUGGUGGCCGGGCGGCAGCUUGCUAAGCACCCCCACAAUUUUUAAAGGUUGACCUCGGAUCAGGUAGGGAUACCCGCUGAACUUAAGCAUAUCAAUAAGGCGGAGGA